rnacentral:rRNA from 1 species
AUGAUAUGGUUCUUCGCAGUCGAGUGGCACUUUGUAGACCGUGUGGCAAGACAAUUUGGAAGAAGACAAGGUAUUCCAAUUGAGGAGAGCAAGGAGGAAACGCUAUCUCUGCAUCGGUUCGAUCGAAGGAACAAUCAGGAUAUAUCGGAUUGGGCAAACAAACACCGUGCAUGGAUAGAAAUUUGGAAUCAAAGAGACACGUUAGUGCAAUCAGAGAAUAGACCUCACAAUCAGUCAGCAUAUCAGAAGUAUCAAGUGUGGUAUGCGGAUCGUUACCGGUUAAAGCUAAAGCCUGGUUGGACUCACGAGGAGUGGUCGGAGUUGGUGUCUGAAGACCCGGAGACUGCAGAAGGUUAUCAUACCUUCAACACAACUGUGAGAGACACCAGAGGGGCUCACGUUGACUAUGCACCGAUGCAUGACGAAAUGGUAGUCUGUUUGACCUAUUCUAACAUACUUGCAUCAUGUUGUUUUCUUUCAAAUACAUAA